rnacentral:rRNA from 1 species
AGAGUUUGGAUCCUGGCUCAGAACGAACGCUGGCGGCGUGCUUAAGACAUGCAAGUCGUGCGAGAAAGUCGCCUUCGGGUGGCGAGUAAAGCGGCGCACGGGUGAGUAACGCGUGGGUAAUCUGCCUUUUGGUUCGGGAUAACUCCGGGAAACUGGGGCUAAUACCGAAUAAGACCACGAAGUCUUCGGGCUUCGCGGGAAAAGAUGGCCUCUCCUUGGAAGCUAUCGCCAGUCGAUGAGCCCGCGUCUGAUUAGCUUGUUGGUGAGGUAACGGCUCACCAAGGCGACGAUCAGUAGCUGGUCUGAGAGGAUGAUCAGCCACACUGGAACUGAGACACGGUCCAGACUCCUACGGGAGGCAGCAGUCGGGAAUUUUGGGCAAUGGGUGAAAGCCUGACCCAGCAACGCCGCGUGAGGGAUGAAGGCCUUCGGGUCGUAAACCUCUGUCGGAAGGGAAGAAAGGUCACUGUUCUAAUAGGCCAGUGACUUGACGGUACCUUCAAAGGAAGUACCGGCUAACUCCGUGCCAGCAGCCGCGGUAAUACGGAGGGUACGAGCGUUGUUCGGAAUUACUGGGCGUAAAGCGCGUGUAGGCGGCCGUAAAAGUCGGGUGUGAAAUCCCGGGGCUCAACCCCGGAACUGCACCCGAAACUGUAUGGCUAGAGUCCCGGAGGGGGUGGCGGAAUUUCCGGUGUAGAG